AGCACUGCAUGGUAUCUGCAGCCAGCCGUGACUCUGGUUGGAGUGUUCAUUGGUCAGUGCAACCUGGCAUAUGACAUUGUUGGUAUACAUUUUUUUUUGUUACCUUUAUUUUUCUAGGCAAGUCAGUUAAGAA
rnacentral:snoRNA from 1 species